UAGUCCACACUGUAAACGAUGAGUGCUAGGUAUCGGGCGAAAGCUCGGUGCCAGUAGCUAACGCGUUAAGCACUCCGCCUGGGGACUACGGUCGCAAGACUAAAACUCAAAGGAAUUGACGGGGACCCGCACAAGCGGUGGAGCAUGUGGUUUAAUUCGAUGUUACGCGAAAAACCUUACCAACCCUUGAAAUGGUAGAUCGCGAGAUUUAGAGAUAAGUCUCUUCAGUUUGGCUGGAUCUAUCACAGGUGUUGCAUGGCUGUCGUCAGCUCGUGUCGUGAGAUGUUGGGUUAAGUCCCGCAACGAGCGAAACCCUUAUCCUUAUUUGCCAGCAUUUCGGAUGGGAACUAUAAGGAAACUGCCAGUGACAAACUGGAGGAAGGUGAGGACGACGUCAAGUCAUCAUGGCCCUUACGGGUUGGGCUACACACGUGCUACAAUGGCGACUACAACGAGAAGCAAUACCGUGAGGUGGAGCAAAUCUUUAAAGGUCGUCUCAGUUCGGAUUGCA
rnacentral:rRNA from 1 species